CAAUAGCGUAUAUUAAAGUUGUUGCAGUUAAAAAGCUCGUAGUUGGAUUUCGGGACGGGCCAGUUGGUCCGCCGCAAGGUGUGUUACUGACUGGUCUGUUCUUCUUCGCAAAGACUGCGUGUGCUCUUCGUUGAGUGUGCGUAGGAUUUACGACGUUUACUUUGAAAAAAUUAGAGUGUUCAAAGCAGGCUAUCGCUUGAAUACAUGAGCAUGGAAUAAUGGAAUAGGACUUUGGUCCUAUUUUGUUGGUUUCUAGGACCGAAGUAAUGAUUAAGAGGGACAAUUGGGGGCAUCCGUACUUCGUUGUCAGAGGUGAAAUUCUUGGAUUUACGAAAGACGAACAACUGCGAAAGCACUUGCCAAGAGUGUUUUCAUUAA
rnacentral:rRNA from 1 species